rnacentral:rRNA from 1 species
AACGAACGCUGGCGGCAUGCCUAACACAUGCAAGUCGAACGAGACCUUCGGGUCUAGUGGCGCACGGGUUCGUAACGCGUGGGAACCUGCCCUUAUGUUCGGAAUAACUCCCCGAAAGGGGUGCUAAUACCGGAUAAUGUCUUCGGACCAAAGAUUUAUCGCCUUUGGAUGGGCCCGCGUUGGAUUAGCUAGUUGGUAGGGUAAAAGCCUACCAAGGCGACGAUCCAUAGCUGGUCUGAGAGGAUGAUCAGCCACACUGGGACUGAGACACGGCCCAGACUCCUACGGGAGGCAGCAGUGGGGAAUAUUGGACAAUGGGCGAAAGCCUGAUCAAGCAAUGCCGCGUGAGUGAUGAAGGCCUUAGGGUUGUAAAGCUCUUUUACCCGGGAUGAUAAUGACAGUACCGGGAGAAUAAGCUCCGGCUAACUCCGUG